CUUCAAGAUGAUCAUUUAUAAACAUGUUAAAUAGAAGGGGUCCCAGAACAGACCCCUGAGGGACACCACUUGCCACCUCUGUCCAGCUUGAAAAUGUACCAUUAAUGACAACUCUUUGUACUCUGUUUUUAAGCCAAUGAUCUACCCAAGAACAAGCAUUUUCAUCUAGACCGAUUUCCUUGAGUUUGAACACUAAUCUAUUGUGUGGAAC